AUGCUCACUUCAGCAGCACAUAUACUAAAGUUGGAAUGAUUCAGAGAAGAUUAGCAUGGCCCCUGAGCCAAGGAUGACAUGCAAAUUUGUGAAGCAUUCCAUAUUUUA